rnacentral:rRNA from 1 species
AACGAACGCUGGCGGCAGGCUUAACACAUGCAAGUCGAACGGGUGUAGCAAUACAUCAGUGGCAGACGGGUGAGUGACACGUGGGAACCUUCCUAGGGGUACGGAACAACUCAGGGAAACUUGAGCUAAUACCGUAUACGUCCGUAAGGAGAAAGAUUCAUCGCCCCUAGACGGGCCCGCGUCGGAUUAGGUAGUUGGUGGGGUAACGGCCUACCAAGCCUACGAUCCGUAGCUGAUCUGAGAGGAUGAUCAGCCACACUGGGACUGAGACACGGCCCAGACCCCUACGGGAGGCAGCAGUGGGGAAUCUUGGACAAUGGGCGCAAGCCUGAUCCAGCCAUGCCGCGUGAGUGAAGAAGGCCUUAGGGUUGUAAAGCUCUUUUACCAGGGACGAUAAUGACGGUACCUGGAGAAUAAGCCCCGGCAAACUUCGUGCCAGCCGCCGCAGUAAU